ensembl:lncRNA PVT1 Pvt1 oncogene
GUGGCCUGGUCUCCAUUAUUUGAGAUGAGUUACAUCUUGGAGGACCAUAGCUGUCUGCAGUGCAGGAAGCCAACUAUUAAGGGGAAACAAAAGUGUUCUUAGGAGUCCUGCUGUCACUGUGGAUUGAGCCGGUGAAGCCCUGAGGGAUUUCAUCGCUGAGGUGGAUGGAGAAGCAGCUGGGGGCCUUGGCUGUAAGGACCCCUAAGGGCUGUUGGCUCACUGCAACCUCCACUGACUUCCUGGACUCAAGGAAUCCUCUUACCUCAGCCUCCUGAGUAGCUGGGACUACAGGCCUGAUCUUUUGGCCAGAAGGAGAUUAAAAAGAUGCCCCUCAAGAUGGCUGUGCCUGUCAGCUGCAUGGAGCUUCGUUCAAGUAUUUUCUGAGCCUGAUGGAUUUACAGUGAUCUUCAGUGGUCUGGGGAAUAACGCUGGUGGAACCAUGCACUGGAAUGACACACGCCCGGCACAUUUCAGGAUACUAAAAGUGGUUUUAAGGGAGGCUGUGGCUGAAUGCCUCAUGGAUUCUUACAGCUUGGAUGUCCAUGGGGGACGAAGGACUGCAGCUGGCUGAGAGGGUUGAGAUCUCUGUUUACUUAGAUCUCUGCCAACUUCCUUUGGGUCUCCCUAUGGAAUGUAAGACCCCGACUCUUCCUGGUGAAGCAUCUGAUGCACGUUCCAUCCGGCGCUCAGCUGGGCUUGAGGACUUCGCAGGUGAGCAGUAACGGAAAUCAGCCCCGUUUAUUCCUCCCAGCACCUGCCUUAUCCAACUCCCCACGCUGUGGCUGAGUCCCAGCCUGCUAUGGAAGCAUCACUGGACUCCCAUUGAACUCUGUGCAGAUUCGCUGUUCGUAGACAUGGUACCUGAUGGACACCAAGCUACGUACAGCUUCAAGGCCCCUUCUUUCUUUGCUAAUAAAAAAUAAAAAAUAAAAACAUAA